rnacentral:rRNA from 1 species
UAAGACGUAGGUGGCGAACGUUAUCCGGAAUUAUUGGGCGUAAAGGGUGCGUAGACGGCAUGAUAAGUUAGCGGUGGGAAAUCGAGGCUCAACCUCGUGGAAGCCGGUAAUACUGUCGUGCUUGAGUAUAGGAGAGGUUAACGGAACUCCCUGUGGAGCGGUAAAAUGUGUCGAUAUAGGGAAGAACACCAAUAACGGCGAAGGCAGUUAACUAUUCUAUUACUGACGUUGAGAGCACGAAAGCGUGGGGAGCAAAACGGAUUAGAUACCCGUGUAGUCCACGCCCUAAACGAUGAGUGCUAGAUAUUGGACCAUUAGGUUCAGUGUCGCUAGGUAACCCGAUAAGCACUCCGCCUGGGUAGUACGCUCGCAAGAGUG